rnacentral:rRNA from 1 species
AUACGUAGGGAGCGAGCGUUGUCCGGAAUUACUGGGCGUAAAGGGCGCGUAGGCGGCGCUUCAAGUCGUCUGUCAAAUGGGAGGGCUUAACCCUUUUUCGCAGACGAAACUGGAGAGCUUGAGAAGCAGAGAGGCAAACAGAAUUCCUGGUGUAGCGGUGAAAUGCGUAGAUAUCAGGAAGAAUACCAGUGGCGAAGGCGGUUUGCUGGCUGCAUACUGACGCUGAAGCGCGAAAGCCAGGGGAGCAAACGGGAUUAGAUACCCCGGUAGUCCUGGCAGUAAACGAUGUAUGCUGGGUGUGAGACUAGCGAUAGUUUCGUGCCGAAGUUAACGCGAUAAGCAUACCGCCUGGGGAGUACGGUCGCAAGACUGAAACUUAAAUGAAUUGGCGGGG